GCAGCAGCCGCGGGAAUACGAGGGGAGCUAGCGUUAUUCGGAAUUACUGGGCGUAAAGCGCACGUAGGCGGCUUUGUAAGUUAGAGGUGAAAGCCCAGAGCUCAACUCUGGAAUUGCCUUUAAGACUGCAUCGCUUGAAUCCAGGAGAGGUGAGUGGAGUUCCGAGUGUAGAGGUGAAAUUCGUAGAUAUUCGGAAGAACACCAGUGGCGAAGGCGGCUCACUGGACUGGUAUUGACGCUGAGGUGCGAAAGCGUGGGGAGCAAACAGGAUUAGAUACCCCCGUAGUCCCUGUCUCUUAUAC
rnacentral:rRNA from 1 species